rnacentral:rRNA from 1 species
GACGAACGCUGGCGGCGUGCCUAAUACAUGCAAGUCGAGCGGACUGAAUGGGAGCUUGCUCUUGUUCGGUCAGCGGCGGACGGGUGAGUAACACGUGGGCAACCUGCCCGCAAGACCGGGAUAACUCCGGGAAACCGGAGCUAAUACCGGAUAACACCGAAGACCGCAUGGUCUUUGGUUGAAAGGCGGCGCAAGCUGCCACUUGCGGAUGGGCCCGCGGCGCAUUAGCUAGUUGGUGGGGUAACGGCUCACCAAGGCGACGAUGCGUAGCCGGCCUGAGAGGGUGACCGGCCACACUGGGACUGGGACACGGCCCAGACUCCUACGGGAGGCAGCAGUAGGGAAUCUUCCGCAAUGGGCGAAAGCCUGACGGAGCGACGCCGCGUGAGCGAAGAAGGCCUUCGGGUCGUAAAGCUCUGUUGUGAGGGACGAAGGAGCGCCGUUUGAAGAAGGCGGCGCGGUGACGGUACCUCACGAGGAAGCCCCGGCUAACUACGUG